rnacentral:rRNA from 1 species
UNUGACUUGAGUGCAGAAGGGGAGAGUGGAAUUCCAUGUGUAGCGGUGAAAUGCAUAGAUAUAUGGAGGAACACCAGUGGCGAAAGCGGCUCUCUGGUCUGUCACUGACGCUGAGGCUCGAAAGCGUGGGUAGCGAACAGGAUUAGAUACCCUGGUAGUCCACGCCGUAAACGAUGAGUGCUAGGUGUUAGGCCCUUUCCAGGGCUUAGUGCCGGAGCUAACGCAAUAAGCACUCCGCCUGGGGAGUACGACCGCAAGGUUGAAACUCAAAGGAAUUGACGGGGGCCCGCACAAGCGGUGAGCAUGUGGUUUAAUUCGAAGCAACGCGAAGAACCUUACCAGGUCUUGACAUCCCGAUGCUAUUCUUAGAGAUAGGAAGUUACUUCGGUACAUCGGAGACAGGUGGUGCAUGGUUGUCGUCAGCUCGUGUCGUGAGAUGUUGGNNNNNNNNNNNNCNACGAGCGCAACCCUUAUUGUUAGUUGCCAUCAUUAAGUUGGGCACUCUAGCGAGACUGCCGGUAAUAAACCGGAGGAAGGUGGGGAUGACGUCAAAUCAUCAUGCCCCUUAUGACCUGGGCUACACACGUGCUACAAUGGUCGGUACAACGAGUUGCGAGCCGGUGACGGCAAGCUAAUCUCUGAAAGCCGAUCUCAGUUCGGAUUGGAGGCUGCAACUCGCCUCCAUGAAGUCGGAAUCGCUAGUAAUCGCGGAUCAGCACGCCGCGGUGAAUACGUUCCCGGGCCU